GAUCAUGGCUCAGGAUGAACGCUGGCGGCGUGCCUAAUACAUGCAAGUCGAACGCGCAGCGAGAGGUGCUUGCACCUUUCAAGCGAGUGGCGAACGAGUGAGUAACACGUGGAUAACCUGCCUCAAGGCUGGGGAUAACAUUUGGAAACAGAUGCUAAUACCGAAUAAAACUUAGUAUCGCAUGAUAUCAAAUUAAAAUGCGCUACGGCGUC
rnacentral:rRNA from 1 species